rnacentral:rRNA from 1 species
UACGUAGGGUGCAAGCGUUGUCCGGAAUUAUUGGGCGUAAAGAGCUCGUAGGCGGUCUGUCGCGUCGGCUGUGAAAACUCGGGGCUCAACCCCGAGCCUGCAGUCGAUACGGGCAGACUAGAGUGCGGUAGGGGAGACUGGAAUUCCUGGUGUAGCGGUGAAAUGCGCAGAUAUCAGGAGGAACACCCGUAGCGAAGGCGGCACUCUGGGCCGUGACUGACGCUGAGGAGCGAAAGCGUGGGGAGCAAACAGG